UUGGGACUGAAGAGGCUGAGCGGCUCAGGAGGCCUGCUCUGGGACACCUCCCCGCUGGGCGCUGGCUGUCCCACACCUGCUGGCCAGAAGGUGGCACUGUCCCACACUUUAUGGGCCCCGGAGGCGAAAGAGAGCAGAGAAAUUCCUGUUUUAUCCCCAAAAUGCUACUUAAGAUCAGGGGAAAGAUCGUGGGCAUUUGGAUCAGUUAUCUGGAAGAAAAGAAUCCUGAAAAUAAAGCGAUGAGUACAACCUCCCUUCAGGUUCUGAUCCGAGUUCCGUCACUCAAGGACCAUCCCAGAGGCGAGAAGAGAGGUGCCAGCUCUGCCUGGAAAUCCCGCAGGAGAGGCCGGUGGGGCUGAGCACCCGCUUCUGCUUUUCUAAGUGAUUGGGAAGAAUGCGCGCCAGCCAACAGCAGUCGCCAUUCUUAGGGGCUCCAAACACACGCACGUGCCGCCUCGCAGCCCCUCCUGCUCUGAUGCUGGGGACGCUCCGCCGUCAGCCAUGGCAGCUUGAUUUACUGUGGCUGGGACAGCGCCAGGGCUGUUCCGGCUCAAGAUGGGGCGUCAGGCCUGCUAUCUGUGUCCCGAUGGGACCAGGAGCCAUCCCACCGGUGGAAGCACCCUUGAGUGCCAGUGUUUCAAGGAACAACCACUCAGCAGGGUGGCCCUGGUGAGACAACCGCUGAAAGGUUUCAAUACCAUCGUGUGUGCAUUUUCCGAUGGAUACACAUCCACGUGUGGAUAAAAUCGUCGCUUACAUUUUGCGUCGUGCACUGGAGCAUCCCCGUAACGUUUCCUAUAAAGCAGGCAGCAUGUGGUCCUGUCUGUGACGAGGCACUUUGGGGUGAGAAGGAGCAAGUGUGACACCUGCUUGUGUCUCAGCGGUGGCUGUGUGGAGUGCGCAGCCCCGAGCCGGGUCUGACGCCUGAGUCGGUCUGAUACCUGAGUAGGAUCGGAUCUCUGGCCGAGAUCCCCAUGGGCCGUGUGACAGUCAGUUUGACGUGUGGACUCAGCCAGGCUGUGGUGCCCAAGUCUUUGACCCCACCCUAAUCUGAGUGUUGCUGAGAAGGCUUUGGGCAGAUGUGGUCAACCCCUACGACCAGUAGCUUUCAGAGACCCGGAUAAUCUGGGGGGGCCUCACCCAAUCAGGUGAAGGGCUUAGGAGCAAAAUCCGAGGUUCCCCUGAGACGAGGAAUUCUGCCUCAAGACAGAAGCAUCCGCUCCUGCUGGAGUUUUCAGCCUUCCGCCAGCCUUACAGGUUUCGGGCUUGCCCGGCCCGACAGUCCGGCGAGACAGUUCCUUAAGACGGAUCCCUUUCAGAGCUUCUCUCCCCUGUUGGUUCUGUCUCUCUGGGGAGCCCUGAUCCGUACUGGCUGAGACCCACAGGGAUGUCAAGCCUGAGCCACGUAAGAGGACAGCAGUCUUGGCCGCUGAGGGUCUGCGAAAAUCAGAAAUGAGCUUCUCUGGCCCUCUUUCGGACCUUCUCGGAAUCUUGAGUUGUUUUCCAAGGAGUGUGUGUGUGUGUGGGGGGGGCCAGUGACAUGUGACAUGGACGUGCAGGACACGCAUCACCGCAUGUGCACCUACAUCAGGUGAGACCGGCUACACACCUGCGUUCACGGCCAUGGGCGGGGGGUCCCAGGAGACGGCUCCUCUGGCGGUGGACUUCCGGGGUGGACCACGGGACUCCUUAUGGACACGGACGGAAUAAUACCGAUGAGCCUGGAAUACACACUAGGGGUUUGUAGUGCCGUGUUGUGCAGCAGAGCAGAAGUCGUCCCGCUGGACUCCCACUCACGUCGCCCACCCCGGCUUUCCACGAGCUUGAAGCAGAGCAGGCUGUUGGCUCUUCCGGGCUCAGUGUGCGAAGGGCUCAAAUCAGGACCUGCCCUUCCAGUUCUGGGGAGCGGAUGCCUUGAUGCAGGCGAGGCCCUCAGGAAAGUGCCCCACUGUGGGACACCACGUAAGGACAUACGCUUUCAUUAUUCAAAUGACCAGUUCCUGCCCUACCACUGGAGUUGGGCUCAAGCCCCAGCACCACCACAAACAAGCUCUGUGGCUUUAGGUGAGUUCUUUGACCUCUCUGAGCCUGG